GCUCAGAAACUCAAAGGAAUUGACGGGGGCCCCGGCACAAGCGGUGGAGUAUGUGGUUUAAUUCGAUGCAACGCGAAGAACCUUACCUGGUCUUGACAUCCCGGAGACCCUUAGGAAACUAGGGGGUGCUUCCAUCUGGAAGAAUCUGGAGACAGGUGCUGCAUGGCUGUCGUCAGCUCGUGUCGUGAGAUGUUGGGUUAAGUCCCGCAACGAGCGCAACCCUUGCCUUUAGUUGCCAGCAGUUCGGCUGGGCACUCUAAAGGGACUGCCGGUGUUAAACCGGAGGAAGGUGGGGAUGACGUCAAGUCCUCAUGGCCUUUAUGUCCAGGGCGACACACGUGCUACAAUGGCCGGCACAGCGGGAAGCGAGGCAGUGAUGCCGAGCGGAUCCCUUAAAGCCGGUCUCAGUUCGGAUUGAAGUCUGCAACUCGACUUCAUGAAGCUGGAAUCGCUAGUAAUCGCAGAUCAGCCAAGCUGCGGUGAAUACGUUCCCGGGCCUU
rnacentral:rRNA from 1 species